rnacentral:rRNA from 1 species
UACGUAGGGGGCUAGCGUUGUCCGGAAUCAUUGAGCGUAAAGCGCGUGUAGGCGGUCCGGUAAGUCCGCUGUGAAAGUCGGGGGCUCAACCCUCGAAUGCCGGUGGAUACUGUCGGGCUAGAGUGCGGAAGAGGCGAGUGGAAUUCCUGGUGUAGCGGUGAAAUGCGCAGAUAUCAGGAGGAACACCAAUUGCGAAGGCAGCUCGCUGGGACGUUACUGACGCUGAGACGCGAAAGCGUGGGGAGCAAACAGG